UACAGAGGUCCCAAGCGUUGUUCGGAUUCAUUGGGCGUAAAGGGUGCGUAGGCGGCGGGGUAAGUCUGAUGUGAAAUCCCGGGGCUCAACCCCGGAACUGCAUUGGAUACUGCCCUGCUUGAGUACUGGAGAGGAGACUGGAAUUUACGGUGUAGCAGUGAAAUGCGUAGAGAUCGUAAGGAAGACCAGUGGCGAAGGCGAGUCUCUGGACAGUUACUGACGCUGAGGCACGAAGGCCAGGGGAGCAAACGGG
rnacentral:rRNA from 1 species